AUGGGCGAAAGCCUGAUCAGCCUGCCGCGUGUGUGAAGAAGGCCUUUUGGUUGUAAAGCACUUUAAGCGAGGAGGAGGCUACUUGGAUUAAUACUCUAGGAUAGGGGACGUUACUCGCAGAAUAAGCACCGGCUAACUCUGUGCCAGCAGCCGCGGUAAUA
rnacentral:rRNA from 1 species